GGUUGCCGUGGUCUCAGUGGUCUGAGUGCUCGGUCAGCUGCGGUGGAGGGCAGCAGUACCACUCUCACGUCUGCAGCUCUCCAGCGUGCAGCGGCCUCAGUCGUCAGAGCAAGAUCUGCAACACCCACGUCUGCCUCGAGGUGGGCUGCCCUCCUGGCCGGCUGUACAGGGAGUGUGAACGAGGAGAAGGUUGUCCUUUCAGCUGCGCUCAGGUCAGCGGCAGGGAGGGAUGCUACGCUGACGGCUGCGAGGAAGGCUGCCACUGUCCCGUGCACACCUACCAGCACCGUGGACUCUGCUUAUCGGAGUGUCCGUGUCUGGUGGAUAAAGAGCUGCUGGCCUCUCUGCAGAGCGUCUCCGUGACACCAGUCGCAUCCCUGCUUUUUCAUAACAUCUCAGAGGAUGUGGAGCUCCAGUCUGGAGAU